rnacentral:snRNA from 1 species
GCGCCAUUCAGGAGUUCUUAUACUAAAAUAGAACACAGAAAGGAUUAGCAUGACUCCUGCAUGAGGAUGACAAAUUCAUGAAGCAUUCCAUAUUUGU